GACGUAGGGCGCGAGCGUUGUCCGGAUUUAUUGGGCGUAAAGAGCUCGUAGGCGGCUCGUUGCGUCGGCUGUGAAAACCCGCAGCUCAACUGUGGGCUUGCAGCUGAUACGGGCGGGCUGGGAUUCGGUAGGGGAGACUGGAAUUCCUGGUGUAGCGGUGAAAUGCGCAGAUAUCAGGAGGAACACCGGUGGCGAAGGCGGCCUACUGGGCCAGCUCUGACGCUGAGGCGCGAAAGCUCGGGGAGCGAACGGG
rnacentral:rRNA from 1 species